GUUAAAAUAAAAGAUUUUCUUUUUUCUUCCCCCAUUUCAGGCUGUGUGCUUGGGAAAUCUGACAAAGCAGCAAUUCAAUAAAACUAAAACGUUUCCUGAAAGUUAUACCCACCUCCAGCAAAAGGCUCAUCAAGAACAGUUUGACAGAGUGGGUAAAAAUCAAACCACCUUCCCAAGCAGCCAGCAGUCUGGUGUCACCUCCCUGCCAUGAGAGAGUCCUAUUCAACUCUGCAUUUAGAAAUAAGCAGAGCAAGAGCAUACUGUCUGUGUAAAUGCUCUGACCAGGAGGCUAUUUUCAGAUCUCUUAUUUAGGGCUAAAACCCCCAAAGCUUUGAAGCUAGGAUUUCACCCACAUGGGAAGAGGAAAAUAUUUGUACUAUCAUAAAUAUUUACAUGAUUGAAAACUUGUAGAGUUCUAAUUGUGAAUGCAGCUUUCCAUUUCCCUGCCUUAAAAUCUGCCUUUUACUUUGCUUUCCAAGAGGAAGCUUUCUGCAAUGUCUCCAGGUAACUUCGAAGCACCGAUCUCAAAGCAGGAAAACCUGCUGAGAUGUGGGGGCUUCUGCACCCCCGUCUUGCUGCUGGUAGACACAGCACAGAGAGACCUGGCUGUAGAACAAGGCAGAGAUCCACUGGGAGCCUGGGAAGUGAGGUCCCAACACUAUGCCGUGCUCAGAUUUGAGAAGGACAAAGAUUAAAAGAAGAGGGGAAAUGAAAAGCAGGGUACUGGAGGAUGAACGAUACCAACCUUAAUGAUACACAACACCAUCUUGUGCUGCUUAUUUCUGUGCCUCGAACUGUUUGCCACAAUUUCUCUGAAAAAAAAGCCAGAAAAUGUGUGUUUUAAAAUGCCAUUCCCCUGUAAUGUGAAUCACAGUAAAAUACUGCUGUAGGAUCUCCUGAACACCAGCCAGAUCAGCAGUCGGUACCAUGAAGAGAGGAAGAACAUGCAUGAGCUGUCUGACCCAACAACAGCUGAAUAAAGAAUAACCUGAGAUUUGCAACCAUAAAGCUUGCAACCAUAAACCAUUGCAAAUUAGCAGUAAUGGAGAGAACUAACAUUACAUGUCUUUAUAGGGCUUUGCUAAACUAAGUAACAAAUUAAUUGGUUUUAAUAAAUAACUCCUUUUCUUUCCUGUAGGCACUGGGAUGUUGAGCAGCAUGCUCAGAGUUUGCUUGUUUUUGUGUCCAUCCAGAUUUAUGGGAUCCAUUUUGAAAGCCUGAGUGGCAUUAAGAUCAAUUUAGAGUGCUGAAAAUGAUGCUUUAGGUGGCUGGUUUUGCGUUUAGUCUGGGAAGUUUUCAGAGAAGGAGAUGUCAGCUUACUGAUUACUCUCCCCAAAUGCCAUCUUGCAGUAUCUUUUAGAAAUGAGCCCAAAGACAGAGCUGUGCCCUGGUUUGGCAGACUCAUCUAAGCAGGUAGAAGAG
rnacentral:lncRNA from 1 species